rnacentral:rRNA from 1 species
AUUGAACGCUGGGCGGCAUGCCUUACACAUGCAAGUCGAACGGUAACGCGGGGCAACCUGGCGACGAGUGGCGAACGGGUGAGUAAUAUAUCGGAACGUGCCCAGUAGUGGGGGAUAGCCCGGCGAAAGCCGGAUUAAUACCGCAUACGACCUACGGGUGAAAGGCGGGGGAUCGCAAGACCUCGCGCUAUUGGAGCGGCCGAUAUCAGAUUAGGUAGUUGGUGGGGGUAAAGCCUACCAAGCCUACGAUCUGUAGCUGGUCUGAGAGGACGACCAGCCACACUGGGACUGAGACACGGCCCAGACUCCUACGGGAGGCAGCAGUGGGAAUUUUGGACAAUGGGCGC